UACGGAGGGGGCUAGCGUUGUUCGGAAUUACUGGGCGUAAAGGGCGCGUAGGCGGCGCGAUAAGUUGGGCGUGAAAGGCCCGGGCUCAACCCGGGGACUGCGCUUGAUACUGUCGCGCUGUGAGUUCGGUAGGGGAGACUGGAAUUCCUGGUGUAGCGGUGAAAUGCGCAGAUAUCAGGAGGAACACCGAUGGCGAAGGCAGCCCCCUGGGCUAACACUGACGCUCAGGCACGAAAGCGUGGGGAGCAACAGG
rnacentral:rRNA from 1 species